rnacentral:lncRNA from 1 species
UCUGUCUCACAUUCCUUUUAGCAACCAAGCCAGAUAAAAUUGUCUGUUCCUAUGUCUUCCAGUUUGCUUUCCAUCACUCAAUAUACACUGCCAGAGCUCCUGUCCAUGCUAUAAUGAAAGAACACCAUGACCUGAAGAUGUACAGAAGCAUUUCUAUUUUUCAGAACAGGAAGUGGCCACGUGUCUUAUUGCUGUUGCAUCUAGAAAAUUGGGUCGUGUGACACAAGUUCCUCUGCUCUCUUAUUGAUAAAAAUGAAUGUACUGCAGCAGUGACUCCAGUGCUGAGGAAGAAAAGACAACAACAACGAAAGAACAGAGUCCUGUAAUCACUGGAAGGAUCGUUCAACAAUGAAAGCAGAAGUAAAUUAGCGUGCAAAUGCCCAUGUGUCACACGGACAAUUGAAACUGGGAGGUGCAUGGAGUGCGUGCCUCGUGAAUAGCUGCACUGCACCUAUGAGUGCACAAAUCAAUGGAAGAACUGAAAAGAAUCUUGAACGGGAAGACAGAAAACUCAAAGAGCUGAUGAUGCCAGCUUGCCAGUUCUCUGGACAAGUAGUGAAGCUCAGAUUAUGAUGUGUAGAGGCUCUGUUAUCAAUGCAGCAGUAGAAGUCCUGAAUACAUUCAGCAAGAGCAGUUGACUGAGGCACCAAUGCAGGUAUGUGACACACUAUUUAAAGAGAAAUUUUUCAAGAAAAUGGAAAG